UUUCUUAUUUUGUUAAUUCGUUAUAUAACUCUCUGUUU
rnacentral:sRNA from 1 species